GCAGCACACCAGGGUCGACAUCGGCGGCCUGACGUCAGUACCAGUUAUAUCGAGACGCGACGCCGACGCUGAAAGGAGAAAGGGAACGUGGAUGUAGAUGUCAGUGCCGAGUGCACUGGCUACGUCGCUCGCUUGCUACCUUCUCAACGGGGAUCCAAGCACGAUUCUACGUCUUUAGGCUUUCGACUAACCUAACCUCAAAUUCGAUGCUCCGUACGGAAGCAGCUUAAACGCUAGCUUAACCCCCCGCCUGUCAAUCCAGCUACGCGUCACUUGGCCCCCUACGAUCCACUCCGUCCCGAGUCUUUAUAGUUUCUUCGUGACGAGCACUUGAUUGUCAAGGAAAAUUAUUUUGGUACGUAUCAGAGAGCUAUCCAUUGAAAUACGUCUUAAGAUUCAAUUAUAAUUCUCCCCUCCACUCGCCAGUUCAUUUGACAAUAAAAACACACAUCCUCCCUCGUACCCUCGGAUAUCUCCUUUCGCUGCCUGAAGUUGGCCGGUUUUCACCAUAAGAGGCAACGCAACGCCCGGAGUCGAUAGUAACGCUCGAUUAAUUCGCUGGCUCACGGCACGCCGUUACGUUUAAUGAUACAGUAAUAAUUAAUGGCGGGCAUAAGUCACAGAUAACGAUCAGAGACAUUAACCGUCGAGAAAAGGAAGCAUAGCCCAAGGAAUCCAACAGUCAUUUAUCCCGUUUAAAUCGCAAUACGUGUCUCCGUUUAGCGUCGUCGUAACCUAUUCGUCAGAUCUUAAUGCGUACAGACUAUAUGUCGAGCAAACGUUGCAACGAGCAGCCCGCGCGCGCCUUCCGACCGAGAUCGCCUAGAAGAAACGUAUGAAAACACUGGCGCCUUUCGAACGAUUACCAACGUGUGCCGGAUCUCUGCUAUCAACUGUCCUCUGAAUAUCCAAGCGCGCAGGGUUGCCAGGGAGAAAGAGGCAAGAGGGAGAGUACGAAAAAUAAAGCCUAAAAUUGUUCCCCGUCCCUAUACAUACAUAUGCAUGUCCCCGGAUGACAUUAUGCACCUUCGAGCCUCCUUUCGAAGCUAAUUAUAUAUAUUUUUUUCAAAGCUUCCAUACCAGACGCCUGAGCGAUACGUAGACUGAAUAAGGUGUCGAAAAUACGUUCUAAAAGUGGACUUUAUGCUACUGUUAGCAGCGUUCGCUGACUGAUAACUCAGUCUAGAAAACAAAUUACGCACGGCUGGCUUCCAUUGAAAGUAUAGGAACGGUACACGCUAGGUUUAUAGAAAUUCUCACUGGCCGUCGGACACCCUCGGCAUUCCGUUCUGUUACGAAGAAGUCAUCGUGAUUCUAUGUAUCUCCGAGACAUUGUUUUUUUCUCCGAACAAAGAAAUUUUACCCAUAAAUCAGUAGUCCAACGUCAUCCAGGAUCGGCACGACGUCGUGCCUGAAGACUCGAGGUUUUGAUUUUACGAAGUAUUAAGGAUGUCGCGUAAGAACGUGAUAGAUCGAUAGAAAAUGCUUGGGUGUCAAUGUCGUCCAAUCAGUCUAUAUAAUUUGGCGAGAAGCUGCCGCGAAGCAUCGACGGGACAGAAUCCACUGAGUCAGAAACUAAUAUUAGAAGGUGAGGCUGCGCUGGCCCGGACUCGUUCAAUCUGACUGACUGAGUCUCGAGCGCCACCUCGAGUCUCCUUCUCUCUCGCGCCUGCUGCCUUCUUCGUUCCCUCGAGUGAGUAAACCUUCUGGAAUUCAAAGGAGCACAACCUAACCUGGGCUGGAUUUUCAGCCUGGGGACAGGUGUAGCGCCACAGCACCUGCUGCUUGCUGGCAUCGACGACUGGUAUACCGUGCAGCCGAAGCUGCCAUAAGGACACUAUAGAGAAGCUACCAGGACGAUGCUGUUUGCAUGGCAGUGCCCUCGUGUAUUUUAUCCUGCCCAGCCUAACCUAACCCGACUACCAAAUACAAGACUUAAAUGCCGUU